UAUUAGAAAAUUAUGGGGGAAUUGCCACUAAUACCACUUUCCUAAUACCACUUUUCAUUUAUACACUAAUCAAUUAUACCACCAGAUUUUUAAUGGUCAAAAUACCAUUGUACCCUUAAAUAAUUAGACCUAAACUACUCUCCUUCUCCCCCACGACAUGUGUCUCUCGCCGGAGAUAUCGGUCAGGUUUCUCUCGCCGGAGGUAUCCUCUCCGAUCCGAUCGGUGACUAUGAGAUCGCAAUUGAAUAUGCCUCUCAUUUCAGGUAACGAUGAGUGAGGGACUCGGACUGCUCUCUUCGCCACUAGUGCUUUUGGUCUAUAAAGAACAAGUUGGAGCACCAGAAAUGAGAGAGAGCUCCGAUAUUAAAGAUCUAAUCUCCCACGGAUACGAUUUAAUCAACUUACUGAACUCCAAGAACGGAUUUGACGUCGUAUCGCGCGCAAAGCUUCAACCACUCAAAAGCUCUCCACUUCGCUUGCGAUGAGGAUUUCAAUCAGAUUCAGAAAUCUAUUAAAGAUUGUAAGAAGAAAACAGAGGAAGCUUAUUCAGAUGAAUCAACAGGAGACGAUGACAUUGAGCGUCUUCAGAAAGAGCUUGAUGAAGAUAUGGAACUAGAAAGCAAGAUAAAUGACGCGCUUAGAUAAGUGUAUAUACUUUAGUUUCUAGUCCCUUGGUUCAGUGACAAGAAAAGUCUGUGUUCUGUCUGUCUAUACAGUUGUUGCUGAUGAACUCAAAGACCUGAAUGCACAAUGGACAUUGGUUGAUGAAAAGAGGCAAUCUUUAAAGAGUAAAGACCGGACGAGUUGAGAGCUGAGUAAGAUGCAGUAGCUUCUUCUGAAUGUUUGGUAAGAUAUUGGGCUUCUCAACUCCACUUUUUAUCUGCAGGAAGAAGCUUUCUAUGUAUGCUUGUGUCACAAAGGUUAUACCAGAAGCAGACGUUAAUGAUCCAUCAAAGAUAUUAGGCUGUAUCCUUCUAUGAAUGCUUGUGUCACAAAGGUUAUACCAGAAGAAGACGUUAAUGAUCGAUGAAAGAUCUCAGGUUGUAUCCUUUUUCUUUUCACCAUCUCUCUACUUCACGAGUCUCAUUCCUUGAGUGUUUUGAAUCCUUGAUUUAAAGUAUUCAUUAGAUAUGGUUUGAGAAGUUCCAAUUAGAGACAAAUAAGAUGACGGCCUAUGAGACAUGUAUAAUGGUUUAUAAGAUGUUUAUAUUAGUUAUAAUGGUUUAUAAAUUAUUUGUAAGGAAUUAUAUAUAAUUUAUAAAGGUUUAUAAAUAAUUCUGAAGAUUUAUAGAUCAUUUGUAAUGGUUUCUAAGUUAUUUAUAAUGGUUUAUAUACACUCUGGUCUGGAUGAUCUUGCAGCAGCCUGCAAAGCAAUGGAAGGUGUAGGAGAGAGUAAAGAAGGGUCGGGUAUGGCUAACGAAGCGGUUUUCUUUUCCAAUCUAUUCUCGUAAUGGGACUGUACUCCUUCGCCAGCCUCAUCCCGUCCUCCACCGUCACCUUGUACUUCGGCAACUCGUCCUCCGUGAAAAUCCCUUGUCAAUGGUCUUCCAACUCGAGCGGAGAUCACAGAUGCUGCAAAUGGCAGAAGGUCAAAAUAUUUCACCAAAAGUAAAUAUGAUCCUGCUAAAUAUUUUUUUGUGGAGUUUGAAUAUUUUUGCAGGGAGAGUUGUGUGAUGUUGAACAAAGGCAACUUAUUAUAAGCAUGUAUAAAUAUUUUAUAAGCCCUUAUAAAACUCUAUUCUAUAAAUCAACUUAUUAUUAUUUAUAAUAAAUUAACUUAGAAAUCCUUACAAACCAGUUGAACAAAUUGGAAGGCAAUUAUUUAUUUGUCAAUGGAGUUUGAAUAUUUUUGCAGGGAGAGCUGUGUGAUGUUGAACAAAGGCAACUUAUUAUAAGCCUGUAUAAAUAUUUUAUAAGCCCCUAUAAAACUCUAUUCUAUAAAUCAACUUAUUAUUAUUUAUAAUAAAUUAACUUAGAAAUCCUUACAAACGAGUUCAUAAACUCUUAUAAAUUAACUUGUCAAUGGUCUUCCAACUCGAGCGGAGAUCACAGAUGCUGAAAAUGGCAGAAGGUCAAAAUAUUUCACCAAAAGUAAACAUGAUCCUGCUAAAUAUUUAUUUGUCUAUGGAGUUUGAAUAUUUUUGCAGGGAGAGCUGUGUGAUGUUGAACAAAGGCAACUUAUUAUAAGCCUGUAUACAUAUUUUAUAAGCCCUUAUAAAACUCUAUUCUAUAAAUCAACUUAUUAUUAUUUAUAAUAAAUUAACUUAGAAAUCCUUACAAACCAGUUCAUGAACUCUUAUAAAUUAACUUAUAAACUUUUAUAAUCAAAAACCAGUUUAUAAACUCUGAUAAAUCAGUUUAUAAUCCCUUAUAAGUUAAUUUAUAAACCAUUUAUGAAUACUUAAAAUUAAUAAUAGUGAUUUACUAUCAAAAUGACUCAUUUAUGAUUUCGCAUAAUCACCUAUUGUUCUACAAAACCACAUAAAGCAAUUGCUAAUCAUCAAUUCAGGCUACAAGAUUGAUGCAUACACAUUUCCAAUUAUUUAUAAACCAUUUAUAAACACUUAUAAAUGACUUACAAACCCUUAUAAACCUUAUAAUUUGUUUAAAUAAUUUUAUAAAUGAAAUAAAGACUUUUAUAAAUGAUAUAUAGAAAAACUCUUAUAAUGAUUAUUUUCAAAUUCUUAUAAAUAAAUAGCUGUUAUACCAAUUAUGAAAUUAAAAAAAAAAAAUAUAAACUAAUUUUAAAAUCGAUUCUUUUAUAGUUUCUAUAAGUUAUUUGUUCUUAACCAAUUUACAAACACUUAAAUAAUUAUAAACUUUUAUUAAUGGGUACAUUUGUUUAUAGGAGUUUAUAAAUGAUACACAAAACCUUCUAAAUUCUUACAAAAGACAUAUCAGUUUAUAUAAACUUAUAAAAUUUUAUAAAUUAAUUUAUAAGGUCUUAUAAACUGAUUUAUGGUUUACAAGGUGAUUUUUGGGGUUUUAAGAUAAUAUAUUAUUUUUAUUAACUAAUUUUAGUUUUAUAAGUGUUAUACACCGAUUUAUAACCCUUCUGAUAUUUUUCUAGCAGAAUAUAUAUUUUUCUAACAGCUCUAGAAGAGCCUCUAAACCGUUUAUAUACCUUUUAUAAAUUCUUAUAAAGCCUUUAUAAUUUAUAAACCUUUAUAAACGGUUUAUAAACUAUGAAUAAAUAUUUUUAUAAAUCUUUAUAAGCUUUUAUAAAUUAUAUCUUUAUAAUUGUUUUUAUAAAUCUUUGUUAUAGACCCUUAAUUAACAUUUUAGAAACCUUUAUAAACUUCUACAAAUAUUUAUAAACCUUUAUAAAAGGUUAUAAUCUCUUUAUAAGUUCUUAUUAAUUAACCUUAUAAAAUGAUUUAUGAACUCUUAUAAAAUCAUUUUUAUAUUUAUAAAAGAUUUUAUAAACUCUUAUAAACUUUUGUAACUGGCUUUAUAAAUUCUUAUAAAUAGAUUUAUAGACUUUGAAAUAGUUUGUUAACUAUUAUUACUGAUUUUUUGAAUAACUUUUUGCUUCUUAAUAUUACCAAAGAUAUAUCCACUUUUGUAAUCAUAGGUACGUGAAGCAGAACUAGAGACAAGUGUGAAAACCUCUGGAAAGAGUUAGCUAUUGCAUUUACGUUGAGAUUGUUGGUUUUCCAUCAUAGUAUAAGAAACCACAUUGAAGUGAAGUGAGCGUCCCUGCUGUUUUGUUGUGUUUUGGAUGGCUUGGAAAGGAAACAACAUGUGGAUUUGUCUGUUUUGUAACAAUAAGAUCUUAUCCGUAAUGAAGGUAAAAGUCCCAAAUAACUUAUCUGUUAGGCUCUCUGUUGCAACCCUGUUAUACUAUAUGUCCAAUGUUCUUCA